UACGGAGGGCGCGAGCGUUGUCCGGAAUCACUGGGCGUAAAGGGCGCGUAGGCGGCCGCGGAAGUCGCUGGUGAAAGCCCGGGGCUCAACCCCGGGACGGCCAGUGAUACUCCGGGGCUGGAGUGCCGUAGGGGCAGGCGGAAUUCCGGGUGUAGCGGUGGAAUGCGUAGAGAUCCGGAAGAACACCGGUGGCGAAGGCGGCUCUCUGGAACGGUACUGACGCUGAGACGCGAAAGCGUGGGGAGCGAACAGG
rnacentral:rRNA from 1 species